CAGCCGUAAACUAUGCUCGCUAGGUGUCAGGCAUGGCGCGACCGUGUCUGGUGCCGCAGGGAAGCCGUGAAGCGAGCCACCUGGGAAGUACGGCCGCAAGGCUGAACUUAAAGGAAUUGGCGGGGGAGCACAACAACGGGUGGAGCCUGCGGUUUAAUUGGACUCAACGCCGGACAACUCACCGGGAACGACAGCAAUAUGUAGGCCAGGCUGAAGACCUUGCCUGAAUCGCUGAGAGGAGGUGCAUGGCGUAGACGUCU
rnacentral:rRNA from 1 species